UAGGUCGUAUCGGAUAAAUGUUUUGUAGCUGAAGGCGAUUUUCUUCUUUCCAUUUUGUGUUUUUAAAUCUAAUUUCAGGUAACGCAAUAUAAGCGACGAGAUUUGUGAGGUGAACAUAGUUAGAGUUGUGAUUACCCCUCCCUCUCUCGAAAUUAUAUUAUUCUUUCCUGGGUAUAAUCCUGUUUGUCUCGAGAGGGGCAAUAACAGCAGCAAAACCAGAGGGCUGGAGGAUGGCGGGGUUUCUUGCUUAACAUCAAAGUAUGGGAGUGGAGGUGGAAAUUUGCAAAGCAUAUGGUAGGGCUCCAUUCUUUUGAAUAAUUGAGUGGGCAUUGGGCAGGGCAAAUGAGUUCAUGGAGAUAUGAAGCUGAAGAUGAAAAUUGAGGAGAGCCUUAUACGUGGAUACCUGCUCCGAAAUCUGCAGCCCCUGACAGAAGCAGAUCCUGCAUUAUUGGCAAAUUAUAUAGUAGCAUUAUUGAAGAACAACAAACCUAAGAAGGAGCUGCAAAAGCUUUGUGUUGAUAAGUUGUAUGAUUUCCUAGGCGAUGAAACAAAGUCAUUUGUUAUAAAACUGUUUCACGCUAUUGAAGAUGGUUCAAUUGUAACUUCUAAUGAGCAAGCAGAAGGCACCCAGACAAAUGAAACUCCUACAGCUGUUGUUAGUGGAGGUCCCACAGAAUUGGGAAACUCUUCUCCACAGCCCGAGAGACUUCCCGUUGCUGCAGUAGGUGCAUUUAAUGAGCUUGAGGAAAAGGGUAUAAGUGAUGAUGAUGAUGAUGAUCGUAACCAUAAACACAGGAGAGUCACACGGUCCCAAUCUUUUGAUCAGGAUGGCCAAGGUGAUGAAGAGAGGAGAUCAAACAAGAAGUGGGGCAGGUAUUCAGAGAAUGGGCAAUCAUUGCAGGAAAGUGAGUCACAGUUUUCAAAUCGUUGCAGGGAAUAUACUGCAUCACACUUAGACAAAGAAAGCUCUGUGAAGCAUGAUAGAAAGCGGUAUGGAUCUUCACUAUCUCCUCAUUUGAAUGCGGAUGGAGGUCAGAGAGUUGCCAGAGUGAGUCAUAUAUUUCACAAUGAGUCUGAGUCUCGAUUUGAUGGCCAAAACACAUUUCCUCAUGCUGGUUCAGGAAGAGGAAGGGGAAGAAGUACAUUUGCCUGGGCUCCGCAUGAUUCAAGGUUCACCUCUGUUGAAACAGUUGAUUUUGCAUCGGCAGUGCUUCCUCAGGGAACCACAUCAACAAGUCUUUUUCCUGGAACUGGAAGGGCCAUUACUAACAGUGUAAAGGCAACAAAUUCAGCAUGGAAUGCUUUUGGGAUGAUUCCUGGAUUAUCAAGUUGUAGUCUGGAGCAGUUGCAUCCUAUGCAUUCUGGAAUGCAAGGAGGACGAGGGCCUUCCUUGAAUGCUACCUUUGGAUUAGGCAUGGGCAUGGGGCAUCCACGGUGCAGGGACUUUGAGGAACGUGGUUUUUGCCUUAGAGGAGACAUGUGCCCAAUGGAACAUGGCCUCAAUAGGAUUGUUGUAGAAGAUGUUCAGAGUCUUUCUCAGUUCAAUCUUCCAGUUUCACUUCCAACUGGGCACUUGCUAGGGAUGAAAAGUGGGGCAGUUGGUGGGAUAUCAAGUGCUGUUGUUUCCACCCUAGCACCAAGCAGCAAAAGUUCGUACAUUAAGAAAUACCGUGCAAAUGAUGAUACUGCUCAUUUGAAUGGAAUGUCAACUGCAUCUGUAGAAAAUGAACCAGAUUUCUAUGACCCAGAUCAACCUCUCUGGAACAAGGAUCGCCCAGACUCUUCAUGUGCACUGAUCCAACUUUUGUCACUUGGGAAAGUUGAGGAGCAUUUGUGGGAUGAUAAUUCAUCUGAUAGACAUAGCUGUCGAUUGUCUGAUGGUGACAAUGAGAGGUCUGGUCAAAGCAUGAGUGCAGCUGUUGUCUCCCAUAAUGUUGUAGUCCCCUCUGUAUGGGGCCGGAUGGGACCCAUAGAUCCCACUUGCAAUCAUUUAGGAGAUAAUAAGAGGGGAGAUACAUCAAGUAAAGCUGUGCAGAGUGGAAAGAAAUCCCGAAAGAAAGUGUAUGGUGAAAAACAUUGUUACAGAUGUGGAAGUAUCUGCUCGGGAAAGUGUGGUAUUGAGAUGAAAGGAUAUGAAGAUACUGGGGCCAAAGCUGUCAAAGUCCCUCUGCAACAAGGAAAAGUUAAUGACUCUGUUAUUCCUGGAUUGAACGGAGAGUCAGGUUCUCGUUUGAGCUCUGGUUUCCUUGCUAGUGGUAAUGGUUCUCGUGGAAGUCGUGGAAAGGGAACUGAGAAAGCUGUACGGACACUCUUUGUCAAUUGUAUACCCCCCCAAAGUAAUAGAAGGGAACUUCUCCUUUCUCAUUUUCAGAAGUUUGGAGAAGUUCUUGACAUUCACAUCCCUAAAAAUUCUGAAAAAUCUUUUGUACAGUUUCGUCAUAGGGAUAGUGCUGAAGCUGCCCUUGCUUCUCCAGAUGCCGUCAUGGGAAACCGUUUUAUUAGAUUGUCAUGGGCCAAUAGGGAUAGCAUUUUGACAGGUGGUGAAAGUAGUGUAACAAUAGUUCCUCCUGGGAGAAUUGCAACUGGAGGGAUAUCAAAUUCUCAACCCCAGAAAAUGGAAGCUGAAAAAGGAAAGGAAAAAGUUAAUGAUGUCUGUCCGGUUGUUCCUGGAAUUUCAACCCUUGAGGUUUCUUCCACUGAAACAAGUGCUUUGAGAUCUGUUGGGACAGAUGAGUUUUCCAUCCCUUCUAUAUCUAAUGUGCAAAAAAAGCAAGAAAAACUAGAGCUUUUGGAGGCUCUUCGUUGCAAGCAGGAAAUAUUGGCCCAGAAGCGUGAGAGUUUUCGACGUCAAUUGGAUAAACUCGAGAAACAGGGUUCAUUUUGUAAACAUGAUGUACUGGAUACAGAUCAAGAUGGACAACAUAAAUCAGAUACAACUGCUGAAUGUGCACACUUAAACAAAUCUUUUAUUUCUAGCCUUCAGUCAUCUGCUGGCUCAGAUUCUGGCCCUGGGGUUGAGAAUUUAAUUAAGGGAAAUUGUGGAGAUGUCCCAAAUCAGAUGGCUGGCUCAAGCUUGCUAUCACCUGCAGUAUUUUCCCACACAUCACCAAAGGUUUUUAAACCACCUUUUCCACGUUUCCCAAGAUUAGCAGCAUCACCAAUGUUUAGUCCAAACCGUUUUAAGUUGGACAAUCGACCCACUGCAUUUAAGAUUCUUCCACCUUUACCUGCAUGUCUCAUGGAUAUUGCUGUUUUGAAAGAACGCUUUUCAGUAUUUGGUGAUCUCUCCUCUGUGGAAUUUGAUGAUGUAGAAGGUUAUGCAGAUGAAGUGACUAAGGCGGAGAAAUGUAGUGUGCGUGUUGCUUACACUACCCGACGUGCAGCUGAAAGAGCUUUUGGUCACGGUAAAUCUUUGCAAGGACAAAACUUGCAUUUUGUCUGGUUAAUGCCUUCCAAUAGCACUCUUAGCCACAGCAAUGUUGAGAAUGAUGCUUGUCAAAUUUCAAAGGGUUUUAAUAAUGGAGCCACUGCUGCUGAAAAGGAAGCACAUGUUGGAGCACCUGAGUUUGAUGAUGAAUUCUCUAGUGAAGCAGUUCAGGGUGGAAAAGAAACCUCUUAUGCAGAAGAGGUUAAUGCAAAUGGAGCUAGAAAUUCAGACAAAACAGUUGAGGUCUUGAUGGAAAGGUGUGGAUUUCAAGACCAAAAUCUGAAUGAUGAAGAUAAUCAAUCUAACCCUGCACAGUGUUCAAUUCCUCAGUCAAAAGAAAAUACUGGGGCAUCAAAAUUGAAUGGUGGCAACAGUAAUGCCAAUAAUUUUGCUCAAGUGGAUAUCCCGACUGAAGUUCUGUAGCCAAGGUGAUUAUAAUCAGGAUUGUCAACUAAAACUGUUUUUGAUGCUGCAGUUAUUGUAUUAUCUCACGGGGAUGCAUCUGUGAAAUUAGAUCCUCUUGAUGGAUUUCGUUGCUGCUUGACUGCAAGAAGGAUUUAUUCUCAUCAGCAUAUGGAGGUUGAAGUAAUUUAUCCUGUUAAAUGGCUUGUCCUCUCCAACUUCAGCAUGGGGAGUGAGUCUGUUGAAAUUAAUUUGUGCUUAUACAAUUUUGAUUGACUUGACGCUAUCAGAAUUAUUUACCUAUGGCUUACAUGUUUCAGGUCAGGUAAGAUUGCUGUGUACAAUAUUAUAACCUUUCAGUCUAUGGGUUUCUGUGUAUCUUACAGUCCAUUAAAGGAAGGACAUUGCACGAAACGCAUUAAUUAGAUUGGAUUUGUUUCCAAACACAUUAGUCAAAAUGGAUUUGUUUCCAAGGAUUUCCACUAUUCUUCUGUCUUUAAUUGGCAGUUUAUCUGCUGCUUUUCCAUGUUCCAGGAAGCUUCAUUUUGUAUCUUCUUCAAUUUACAUUCUAUAAUCUUAUUUUUGUAAGUCUCUUCAAUCUUGUAUUGUUUUCUCGUGUAUAAGAUUGACAGACUCCUUUGUAAUGUUUGGGAAGUUUUGGGAAAGGUAGUUGAAUGAUGAAAGCUUUGAAUGUUCCAUUUUGCAAUGAGAUGGAGUUUUGAGGGUUCUAGGGUUGCCAUUUAGUGGACUGUAGUGUGGAAGCAAUAAAACUGAUCUCAUGUUCAAAUCAAAUGGAAGGUGCUGAAUGCAAUAGAUGACUUAAAAACUUUACCUCA